AUGCUUCUCCUAAAGACUAAGCCAUGCAUGCCUUCGAAUAAGAGGAAGCAAUUCUCUCUGAAUCUGCGAACGGCUCCGCAAACCAGUUGUAAACUAUAGCAAGCAAGCCCGGGUCCCUCGGGGCCCGGGCAACACGGAUAACCCUGGUAAUUCUGAGGCUAAUACGAGAAAGUACUACCUGGUCGGCCGGGCAACCGGUCGGUCGGGAUGUGUGCGAUCUUCCGCUGAAUUUUUACCGGGAAUGGGCG
rnacentral:rRNA from 1 species